GAGGCAUCUGUCCUGACUUGGGAACUACGGGACUCAUGUCCUGUACAGAGACUCCGUCCUACUGAUGGGCACUGGGCCUCCAGAUGGAAGCGAUGUCUGCUCUGCAAGCCAGCCCUUGUCAAUAAGAUGCGGGACAUGUACACAUGCUCGCUCCCCUGACUCUUGUGCACAACGUGGAAGGAGAAUUCUGGAAGUGGAAUUGGUCUCUCAAAAGGGCGACAGAGCAGAUCUGAAGUAGCUCCUCGCCUGGCCUCCCCACUGAACCCCUCCUGGGCUGUCUGAACGAAGGGAGAUCGCUUAGUGGGUGCUUGCUCUCUGCUCACAUGAGGCAUCUGUGUGCCCACGGCCGGGGUGGUGGACGAGCCUUCAGAGAUUCCUCGGGCCAAUUCCUGCCGUGCCAAACCAUGCUUGGCAUCACAAGGACUUACUCAGCUCUGAGCGGUUUCUUCCGAUGUGUUCCAGAAUGUUAGUGUGGCAGAUGCAGUGUGCUCUGAAGUUGUCCUGAUGAAGUUAGAAUCAUUUCCUAGUGAAAAUAGAGAAAGUUAUCUUCUCCAAAAUUCAUUCAAGGAAAUUUGUAAAUGGAUAUCUGUGCUCAUAUCCUUCCUGGAAGUCUGAAGGCAGUUCUUUAUCACUGGCCUUAAGGACUAUCUUUAUGGCAGCCCGCUCUAGGUGAAUGGAUUUUCCAGGAGGGUUACUAUACAUCAGUUCUGAUUAUUUAUUACUGUCAGCAAAAAUCAGGCCCAAAAUGGGAACAAAAUGUCUAUUAUCCUACCACUGAUAAAGGAAUCUCUAAAUGGGCAAGGCUCUUGCAUUAGCAAGAUGAAUCUCAGAAUCUCCCGAGUGACUUAAGCAAUCAGACAUCUGAGUGAAUCCAGUGUGGGCCAAGGAUCCAAGAGAAUGUGUGCCUGCAGGCAAAGCCAGGGAAAGCCUGGCAAGGUCUGGGAGGCAGAGGGUCACUGAGGAAGGGGGCAGGGUGGGCAGGAGGGGAAGGACAGUCACAGACAGAACCUGGGGAGUUGGAGUGAGGGAAAAAGAGAGGAGGAAUCUCCAGCAAUGGGGUCUGCAUGUGAGCAAAACACAAUUGAGGAAGAACAGGGAGACAAGGGACAAGAAGAAGGGAAUUAGUGAG
rnacentral:lncRNA from 12 species